CAUAAAUUGGAAAUUAGUCUUUACAUUCUAGUUGACUAUUCUAAGAACUAUUUUCAUGGUAUCUAAUAUUAAUAAUUUAAUGACUUUAGAUGAUAUGCUAAAGAAAUGAUGGUUCUUAGAAAAGCUUUAAUAUUAUUUUCCAAAGGUUGUUUUGCACACAUCAUAUUAUAAAACAUGCAGACUUUGGGCACAGGCUACGCCAGGAGUAACUGAGCUAAAAAUUAGCUAAAUUCAUAGAGAAAUAUACAAAUAUUUCAGAGUUCCUUUAGAAUAAAUUCAUAGCAACCAUUUUGUAUUAUUAAGGUAAUGGUUAUUGAUCAGGUUUUAUCUAAUAUGGUUUUGGACAUUUGCACAAGUUUAAACUUUCUGGUGAAAAUAGCAUGUUUUUCCAAGCUCUUUAAAAUGUUAUAGUGAUGUUAACAAAGUUAGCCCGUUGUCACCAAUGAGCCAUAGUCAUGACUUAAAUUAUUUAGUCAUUUAAAUAUUAACUGAUUAGUCUUUGUUAUGUGACAUAUUUAUUUAGAGUGUUUCCAUGAAGUCAAACAGCUUUUUAUGAGGUUUCUUUGUAUCUGUCUGAAUAUAUCAAUCACCUACAAUGGAAUGAAAGAUGCCCAGAUGCUAUCUGAAUUGAUGAUUCUGAAAUCAACAGCUUGAUUAACAGUGACAGUAAAGAGUAUCAUUAUGUUAUAUACCAGAUGGAAAAGACUUUGCAUUCUGGUAGACCAACUGAUGCCACCCAGACCCAUGACCCAUGCCAAAGAACUGAUUCAACUGGUUCUGUGACUCCCACCCAUGAAGUCACUCAGGACAUGAAGACAGUUUUGACACUCCUGUGAUUUCAUCCCUGACCAAAUCGCAGUUCCCAUUCCUUAGCACCCCACACACACCAAAUCAUCCUAAAAAACCCUCACCUCCAAAUUCAUGGGGAGGCAGAUUUGAG
rnacentral:lncRNA from 1 species